CUGUGCAUUUUUCCUCAGUUAGUUGGCUAAACUCAUCGGGAGCACAGCUAAACUGAAACAAAAUUGUCAGUGUUUUCUUUUUUCUUAAUAUAUUUUUCGGAUUUCAUAUUUUUUCUCAGUUUUCUUCUUUUCUUUAAUUAUCGAAUAUUUUUCAAAAAAUGUUCCCGAUCGAUAUGCAAACUAUUUUAUUGAAAGAAUAAAAAAAAUUUAUUUAAGCUGUAGCUGGUACCAAAAUGUAGAAGGCUGAGGAUUCUUCUUUUUCUUCACUUUGAAAGUAUUUCUGAAACAACAAUCUUGCGCCCUUCUUUGAUUUCUACAUUUCUAAUCUGGAUGGUACCAUGAAAUGCAACAUGUGAUUGGCAUCCUUAAAAACCCCAACGAAUUAAUAUUUUACUUAUUUGGAACAUUGUGGAUUUUCAUUCUUCUUUUAGGUCGAUACACUUAUUCCAGCGAUUUUCUAACUUUUUGAUCCCAUCUGAAAAGUAAUUCUCCGGAAGGUCUGUAAAUACUCCUCUGCAGCAUCGAUGAUUUCCCUCCUAGCUCGCGGAUUUUCACUUUCCGGUCAGCCAAUACCAUUUCAUGUAUUUUUUUGGACAUUUUCCUGUGUAACCGCAUCGGAGGGCCUGCCACUAAGGACUUCAUCGGUAGUGAAGGUUCGGCCACCAAGAAACUCUCGAAACCAAUAUUUCACGGUGUAAUCUGAAGGAGCAUGAGCCGCAUAGUAUUUAUCCAACUUUUGUUUAGUUUCCGUCGCUGUUUUGCCUCUCAACAAAUAAUGUUUUAUGAGGAAACGAAAAUCGUUUUUUUCCAUGGUCAACAUGAUGUCAAACACGUCAACAACAAAACGUAAGAGCUGUAUCGCGCUGAAUUUCAACAUGGUCACCUAAAUAUGAAUGGACUAUAAGGAGCGACAAUAAUUUUUGCGAUAGCAGCGCAUCUAGUAUACACAUUUCUUUUUAUUUCGUAGUUAUCACAAUUAUUUUUAUCAUUCUGCGGAUGACACACAUUCAUUUUGUAUACCAAAUAUUUCGACAUCUUUAUAAUAUAUUAUUUUAUAUGAA